GACGAAGGGGGCAAGCGUUGUUCGGAUUUACUGGGCGUAAAGGGCGCGUAGGCGGCCAGCACAAGUCAGUUGUGAAAUCUCCGAGCUUAACUCGGAAAGGUCAACUGAUACUGUGCGGCUAGAGUGCGGAAGGGGCAACUGGAAUUCUUGGUGUAGCGGUGAAAUGCGUAGAUAUCAAGAGGAACACCGGUGGCGAAGGCGGGUCUCCGGGCCGUAACUGACGCUGAGGAGCGAAAGCAUGGGGAGCGAACAGG
rnacentral:rRNA from 1 species